rnacentral:rRNA from 1 species
UACGAAGGGGGCUAGCGUUGUUCGGAUUUACUGGGCGUAAAGCGCACGUAGGCGGCUUGGCAAGUCGGAUGUGAAAUCCCUCGGCUCAACCCAGGAAGUGCACUCGAAACUCCCGAGCUGGAGUCCCGGAGAGGAAGGCGGAAUUCUCGGUGUAGAGGUGAAAUUCGUAGAUAUCGAGAGGAACAUCGGUGGCGAAGGCGGCCUUCUGGACGGUGACUGACGCUGAGACGCGAAAGCGUGGGGAGCAAACAGG